UGCCAGCCGCCGCGGUAAUACGGAGGGUGCGAGCGUUAAUCGGAAUCACUGGGCGUAAAGCGUACGUAGGUGGUAAAGUCAGUCAGGGGUGAAAUCCUACAGCUUAACUGUAGAACUGCCUUUGAUACUGCAAAUCUUGAGUUCGGAAGGGAGAGGCGGAAUUCCAGGUGUAGUGGUGAAAUACGUAGAUAUCUGGAAGAACACCAGAGGCGAAGGCGGUCUCUUGGUCCGAAACUGACGCUGAGGCGCGAAAGCGUGGGGAGCAAACAGGAUUAGAUA
rnacentral:rRNA from 1 species